rnacentral:misc_RNA from 1 species
GGAAGGAUCAUUAACAAUUAUAAAUCCACACCCGUCUUGGCUUCCACAGUCGUCGUCGUCGUCGUCAUCAUCAUCAUCAAUCAAUUGGUUGGUGGUGGUGGUGGUGGUGGUGGCGCAGUGGAGGCCGCUGACAAACACACACAAACAAACACAUUCAAUAUUGACAACUAAUGGAGAACCAAAAUUAUACAAGCUGAAAAGCAAACAACUUUUAACAAUGGAUCUCUCGGCUCUUGCAACGAUGAAGAACGCAGCGAACUGCGAAACGUGAUGUGAACUGCACUCUUCGUGAAUCAUCCAAUCUUUGAACGCAACUUGCACCUUGCGACCUGUGUCACAAGGUAUACUUGUUUGAGUAUCCGCAACUUCUCAACCCCCCUUUGGGGUGUGUGUUGGAUCUGAGCGUGCUUCCCUCCCUCAACCCUUUAUUAUUAUCUAUCUAGAGGGCUGAGACGGUAAGCCGCUUUAAAUGCGGACGGUCGUUGCGACACGUCUCCACAUACGCGCAUAGGUAGGUGGUGGUGUACGUACGGUAAGUAUACAUAUACUGCUUUGCUGCAGUAUAUGUAUACUUACUUUAUUUACCCUCCCUCCCCUAUCACAUGUGAGGCGCCUGUGCUAGCGCAUCCACGACGAUUGGGAUAACAUCCCUUACAAUUGUCGGCUAGUGACUCUAUGUCUGUCUCCCCCCACAUUAUAUGUAUGUAUGUAUAUAUAUAUACAUAUAUAGAGGAAAGAGAUGAUGAGUAGGGAAGGCGCCUUUUUGCAUGAGUGAUGUGUUGACGCGUUGGCUGUCAUUCGGACGGUAUUAUUCAUCAUCAUAUAUGAUGAAUGAGUGAUGCCUCCACACACUGACCGAUGCCAUGCAUGCAUGGACACAUUGGAACGUGCGAUAUGAAUGGAUCUCAAAUCAAGUAAGGAUACCCGCUGAACUUAAGCAUAUCAGUAAGCGGAGGAAAAGAAACUAACAAGGAUUCCCUGAGUAACGGCGAGUGAAACGGGAAAAGCUCAAAUUUGAAAUCUGGCAUCCACGAGGGUGUCCGAAUUGUCAUUGAGAGGGUCUUCUUUUGUGCCCACGUGGUAGUUCAAGUUCUCUGGAAAGGGGCAACAAAGAGGGUGACAUUCCCGUCUAGACUAUCAUCUCAGUGGGUGCUGCAAGAAGAAGGCUCUAAGAGUCGGAUUGUUUGGGAAUGCAGUCCAAAAUGGGUGGUACAUUUCAUCUAAAGCUAAAUAUAGGCAAGAGACCGAUAGCGAACAAGUACCGUGAGGGAAAGAUGAAAAGAACUUUGAAAAGAGAGUUAAAUAGUACGUGAAAUUGUUAAAAGGGAAACGAUUGAGACCAGUGAUGCGCCCAGUCCUAGAGCACGGCCUUUGGGCAGUGUGUUUGGGCUGGCGCAAGUCGACGCUCCUUUUGCCCCCUGGACAAGACAACGGUGAAAGGUGGCUCCUUGCUUACGCGAGGUUGCUUUAUAGUCACUUUGGGAUACAGGGUGUGGGAGGAGACAGGUAGGCCCUCGGGCCACGUCGACGAAAUGGUCUUAAACGACCCGUCUUGAAACACGGACCAAGGAGUCUAACAACUAUGCGAGUAUUUGAGUGGCAAACUCGAAUGCGCAAAGAAACUGAACGCGUGGGAUUUCCUGCUUUACGAAGCGGUAAUGCACCAUGGGCCGGUCCUUGUCGCUGACUUGGAUUGCGCUAGAGCAUACGUGUUGGGACCCGAAAGAUGGUGAACUAUGCCUGAAUAGGGUGAAGCCAGGGGAAACUCUGGUGGAGGCUCGUAGACAUUCUGACGUGCAAAUCGAUGUUCAAAUUUGGGUAUAGGGGCGAAAGACUAAUCGAACCAUCUAGUAGCUGGUUCCCUC